rnacentral:rRNA from 1 species
GACGAAGGGGGCUAGCGUUGUUCGGAAUUACUGGGCGUAAAGCGCGCGUAGGUGGUGUGUUAAGUCUGCCGGUCAAAUGCCGAGGCUCAACCUCGUGCCCGCCGGGGAUACUGGCACGCUGGAGACACGUAGAGGCAAGCGGAAUUCCGGGGUGUAGCGGUGGAAUGCGUAGAGAUCCGGAAGAACACCGGGAGGCGAAGGCGGCUUGCUGGGCGUGAUCUGACGCUGAGGCGCGAAAAGCGUGGGGAGCGAACAGG